GCUAUAUCUCUGAACUCAUGAAACUUACUGGAUCUUGAUGGACAAAAUUUGCUGCUACGUGGGCGCACAUCUCUUUUUUACUUUUUUGGCACGAAGAAACGCAGCCGUCCGGGAUGUAUUUAAGGGUGAUGCCCCGAGAGAUGAAACGGGAUCUCUUGGAAGGAAAAUGAUCCUCGUCUGUUACACCUGCAUUUUUGUUGAGCUAGGUUUCACCGUCAUCGCCUUUAUCAUAAUGACUUUUCCGAUUAUUUUAGGAAGAUAGAACUUUCGAUAUUUUAAAUUUUCAUUGAGACUUUAAUUAACGCUCUGCCACUGUGUAAAGAAUCCAAGAAUGACUUCGCCAUUAGUUUCUAAAUGUUGCAAUGCGGAAUUUUGUAAAGAUUCUCGUCAAGAUAGGUAGAUUUCUGCGGAUUUCUGUGUUUGGGGGAAUUAAAUCGAUUGGUAUUUUAUAAGUA